AUCGANACCCCACGAUAANUUUCACUUUAAUUUCAAAAUUUAUAUACCUCCAUCUCAAGAAUUAAUUUAAAAAUAUUUCUCUCAAAAAUAAAUAAAAAGUUAGGUCAAGGUGCAAUUUACAUUAAAGAAACAAAUGAAUUACAUUAAAUACAAUUUAAAGAUUAUAUAUUCAAAUAUCUAUACAAAUUAGGAUUUAAAUGUAAUAAUUAAAUAAUAUUAUAAUAUGAUCCAGAUAAUAAAUGUGUACACAUCGCCC
rnacentral:rRNA from 1 species